rnacentral:rRNA from 1 species
AUUGAACGCUGGCGGAAUGCUUUACACAUGCAAGUCGAACGGCAGCACGGACUUCGGUCUGGUGGCGAGUGGCGAACGGGUGAGUAAUACAUCGGAACGUGCCCAGUCGUGGGGGAUAACGUAGCGAAAGCUACGCUAAUACCGCAUACGAUCUAAGGAUGAAAGCGGGGGAUCGCAAGACCUCGCGCGAUUGGAGCGGCCGAUGGCAGAUUAGGUAGUUGGUGGGGUAAAGGCCUACCAAGCCGACGAUCUGUAGCUGGUCUGAGAGGACGACCAGCCACACUGGGACUGAGACACGGCCCAGACUCCUACGGGGGGCAGCAGUGGGGAAUUUUGGACAAUGGGCGCAAGCCUGAUUCAGCCAUUCCGCGUGCAGGAUGAAGGCCCUCGGGUUGUAAACUGCUUUUGUACAGAACGAAAAGGCUCUGGUUAAUACCUGGGGCUCAUGACGGUACUGUAAGAAUAAGCACCGGCUAACUAGGUGCCAGCCGCCGCCGUAACAC